rnacentral:rRNA from 1 species
AGCGAACGCUGGCGGCAGGCCUAACACAUGCAAGUCGAACGAAGUCUUCGGACUUAGUGGCGGACGGGUGAGUAACACGUGGGAACGUACCUUUUGGUUCGGAACAACUCAGGGAAACUUGAGCUAAUACCGGAUGAGCCCUUAGGGGGAAAGAUUUAUCGCCGAAAGAGCGGCCCGCGUUAGAUUAGCUAGUUGGUGAGGUAAAGGCUAACCAAGGCUACGAUCUAUAGCUGGCCUGAGAGGAUGAUCAGCCACACUGGGACUGAGACACGGCCCAGACUCCUACGGGAGGCAGCAGUGGGGAAUCUUGCGCAAUGGGCGAAAGCCUGACGCAGCCAUGCCGCGUGAAUGAUGAAGGUCUUAGGAUUGUAAAAUUCUUUUACCAGGGACGAUAAUGACGGUACCUGGAGAAAAAGCCCCGGCUAACUUCGUGCCAGCAGCCGCGGUAA